CCUACGGGUGGCAGCAGUGAGGAAUAUUGGUCAAUGGACGCAAGUCUGAACCAGCCAUGCCGCGUGCAGGAAGACGGCCCUAUGAGUUGUAAACUGCUUUUGUGCGAGGGUAAACGCAGAUACGCGUAUCUGUCUGAAAGUAUCGUACGAAUAAGAAUCGGCUAACCCUGCGCCAGCAGCCGCGGUAAUACGGAGGAUUCAAGCGUUGUCCGGAUUUAUUGGGUUUAAAGGGGGCGUAGGCGGUCGGAUAAGUUAGAGGUGAAAUCCCGGGGCUCAACUUCGGAAUUGCCUUUGAUACUGGUCGGCUAGAGAGUAGUUGCGGUAGGCAGAAUGUAUGGUGUAGCGGUGAAAUGCUUAGAGAUCAUACAGAACACCGAUUGCGAAGGCAGCUUACCAAGCUACUUCUGACGUUGAGGUACGAAAGCGUGGGGAGCAAACAGGAUUAGAUACCCGUGUAGUC
rnacentral:rRNA from 1 species